ensembl:lncRNA
AGCGGACCGUUGCGGGUGAACGCGUAGAGCGUAGUUUCCGGUAGACCCGGAAGCCGAUCGCACGGACGAACUGCUUCGCAGCAGCGUGCCUCCCUGUCCCAGCCACUGAUCCCGAGUGUGGGGAGUGACUUCAGUCUUCUGACAUCCAGUGUUCUCUGGAGCCAGCUUCCAGCCCACCGAAAAUGAGCUCUUCCGGAGAUGGGCAUCUUAUUCCAAUCCCCUCCCCGUGAAUGUGUGGAGAAAAAAAGAUGGGAACGAGUCAGAGGAAAUAGAGAAAUUUUGAAAGAGAAAUGAAGAAUGAGAGAACCAUUAACAGACGGCAAAGUAGAAGGUUCACAAAUUUUAAGAAAGGGAGAAUAAAGUGGAAAAAUCUCAGAGGGAAUCCACUCAACAGAUGAGGUACCUUAACCACAUGGUGGGUGAAUUCCAAAAUUGUUAACAUCUGUUUGCUGAGUUAGGCUAAAUCAGGCCUAUGUAGAAAGUCACAGUUUGAGGAUUACCUUAGGGUGAGG